CCUGAAAAUCUGACCUUCCCUGACUCACGGUCCUGGAGUGCUGGUUUUUUGUCAGAUCUACACAGCAGAAAAGCUGGGAACCCCAGACCCAGGAAAGGGCAGGCAAGACCAAUCACUUCUGGGGAAUUCAGAUCAACUGAAAUCACUUACUAAAUCCCCACCUGCCUUUCAGCACUUGAGAAUACAGAGAGGGAGCACUGGUUUAAUGGAAGCUCCUCUAUGAAACUAGAAUUUGAUCUCUAGUGCUGGAAAAAAUACCAGGACAUUGUCAUGUAACUGCAUAAUUCUGGGGGGAAAAAACUACUUUUGUCAGCACCCAAAACCUCCCACAGGUACAUACUGGCCAGUUAUGACCCGAAGUCACACAGAAGGUCAGGGUAUAGCCCUGUCGUUACCCACUACCUUGCAGUUCAGAGCAUCUCAUUGCUCCUUCCCUAGUUCAGCAGUGCAGCACAAGGGAAAGCGUUCCUGGGUUCCUACCCUUGCUUUGCAAUUCCAGACACAGCUCACAAUUUCCGGCUAAGAAGUUCCCCCUUCAUUCCAGUGCCAAUCAAUCAAAGAUACAAAAACAAAGCCUUUGUGUGUAUUAGUGUUUCACAAAAGAGCCCUGAUCUUUGUUUUGAUCCUCUCAAAAUGAAUACAGUUCAGAAGCCAAUGCAGCCAUACAUGCAAACAUAUUUCCUGCACCCUGUAUCUUCACCCUUCAGCAAUUAAUGUCAUUUACUAACCAUAUUCCACCAAGUAAAAGAAUAUGCUUGUUUAAACUGUCUUAUGAAGUGGCACUUCACAAACAGAAAAGCAGGUGAAAGGGAAGGGAGAAUACCCCAAACUAUGUCCUAAACUUUUAAAAAUCUAUUCCUGAGUGGCUUCACAAUGUGGCAUCAUUUCUACAUUUAUCCAACAGGUUCAUGAACUCGUCCCUUCACUAUGGAUUCCAAUUCCCAUUGGGGUGAAAUAUUGACAGUCUGGUGCAUUUGAAUUGCAACGCUAUCCGGAGUUGGAUUUGAAAGUGAUUAUUUGAAAUAUAAUUGACCGUGACAUCCAUACGACAACCAGGUCACUUGGCAAGCAGGAUUUCCCAAGCUUCGGUGAUCUCAGCUGCAUUCCAAGCAAUAAUCCUAAGAACACAAUGUGACUGAGACAGCUCAGCUGGGCAAUAGCAAGAACAAGAGAUGUCAGAAAGUCAUCGAUCCAUUUCUCAUAAGCAGGUAUCUUCUUGUAAGAAAGUAUCCCCUAGAACACCUGUUCUCAAGAACAACUUCUUAAGAACAAAAAGAUGUAACACCCACCCCAAGACCUCUGGGUAUGGACCUCAUGCUGACAGUACUGCCGUCCUAGA